rnacentral:misc_RNA from 1 species
CAAUGGCUAUGAAAUGCCUCACGGACUCGAGCGACUGCUCACACUUGGAUUUUUCCAAUGCCCUUUUUUUGGACAAUGUAUCUAUUGGCGACAUGACUUCUGGCUGCACAUAGUUCUUCCCUCGAUAAAAUAUAAUGGUGUCAUCUUCAAUAAACUGUAUGGGGAUCCCACCACUCAACCUGGCAAUUUCCUGAGCAUAUUCCUGUACUUGGCCAGGUUUGCUAUUCUUGCAAAUAACCUUUACGGUUUCAUGCUUCUUCCAAUGCAUAUGCAUAUUAAGAAUGACGCCUCCAAAUAUUCCUCUUCUGCCAACUGGCACGUAAUUGGAUUUUU